UACGAAGAGGGCUAGCGUUGCUCGGAAUCACUGGGCGUAAAGCGCACGUAGGCGGACUCUUAAGUCGGUGGUGAAAUCCUGGAGCUCAACUCCAGAACUGCCUUCGAUACUGAGAGUCUCGAGUCCGGGAGAGGUGAGUGGAACUGCGAGUGUAGAGGUGAAAUUCGUAGAUAUUCGCAAGAACACCAGUGGCGAAGGCGGCUCACUGGCCCGGUACUGACGCUGAGGUGCGAAAGCGUGGGGAGCAAACAGG
rnacentral:rRNA from 1 species